UACAGAGACUGCGAGCGUUAUUCGGAUUCAUUGGGCGUAAAGGGUGCGUAGGCGGCGCGGUAAGUCGGGUGUGAAAUCUCGGGGCUUAACUCCGAAACUGCAUUCGAUACUGCCGUGCUUGAGGACUGGAGAGGAGACUGGAAUUUACGGUGUAGCGGUGAAAUGCGUAGAUAUCGUAAGGAAGACCAGUGGCGAAGGCGGGUCUCUGGACAGUUCCUGACGCUGAGGCACGAAGGCCAGGGGAGCAAACGGG
rnacentral:rRNA from 1 species